rnacentral:rRNA from 1 species
CCUACGGGGGGCAGCAGUGGGGAAUAUUGCACAAUGGGCGCAAGCCUGAUGCAGCCAUGCCGCGUGUGUGAAGAAGGCCUUCGGGUUGUAAAGCACUUUCAGCGGGGAGGAAGGCGUUAAGGUUAAUAACCUUGGCGAUUGACGUUACCCGCAGAAGAAGCACCGGCUAACUCCGUGCCAGCAGCCGCGGUAAUACGGAGGGUGCAAGCGUUAAUCGGAAUUACUGGGCGUAAAGCGCACGCAGGCGGUCUGUCAAGUCGGAUGUGAAAUCCCCGGGCUCAACCGGGGAACUGCAUUCGAAACUGGCAGGCUAGAGUCUUGUAGAGGGGGGUAGAAUUCCAGGUGUAGCGGUGAAAUGCGUAGAGAUCUGGAGGAAUACCGGUGGCGAAGGCGGCCCCCUGGACAAAGACUGACGCUCAGGUGCGAAAGCGUGGGGAGCAAACAGGAUUAGAUACCCGUGUAGUC